AAAGAAGAGGGCUGAAUGAAAAUGAAGAAAAGAAAAGAAAUAGCGAAGGGCAGACGUUUGAGAGGUGCCCUUCGGGUGUGUUUCUCAGUUGUCAAAAGGCAUUCUGGGAAACACAGCAAAACAGCAGGUUGAAGGUCCGCCCAGCAGCUAGACGGCCGGAGGAGCGGUGAAGUGCCUUGUUGCAGGCGCCGAGAGAAGGAGGGUUUGAUACGGACAAGACGAAGCGACCAGGGUGGGUGUUCACUCUCCGUCUCUCUCCACCAACAUC